UCCAGAAAACAGAUUUCUGCCUUCACAGAGCUGCCACCCCAUCAGAGCAGAUCAACAAAAGCACAAAAGACUGCAGCAUGCUAGGCGAGGUGUUUGAGGAAGAAAGGAAGGAAAGGAAACGGAACUGAUUCCAGGGAAGUUGGAGUCAACACAUGCCAGCCAAUCCACAUAAUGCACACCUAGACGGAGUGACUGGACUGUGAGAAAUAUCGACUCAAAAUCGAUCCAGUUGGGAGUUCCCACAAUGCUGGCAUGAAACAUGCUAACCAUGCAUCAUGCAGGAGUGAGACUCAGCAGACAUCAGCGAUCAUGGGGAAAAUCUACCCGCAGAUAAGUGUGGAUAAAAAGAACAAGGAAGAGUCAGCUAUGGAGGGAGUGUAUGAGGGCAUCUGCUUGUCCGGGCAACCCGACACCACACUACAGCAAUGACUAGAAGCAACUUCUCAGGCCCCACCUCAAUCCUGCUGAACCGGGAACUUGGGAGCAGGGUCCAGCCACCUGUUCCUAUAAACCGAGUAAAUGAUUUUGAUUCUUGUUAAAGUUUGAAAACCACA